rnacentral:SRP_RNA from 1 species
GCUGGGGGUGGUGGCGUGCACCUGUAGUCCCAGCUACUCAGGAGGCUGAGGUGGGAGGAUCACUUGAGCCCAGGAGUUUGAGGCUGCAGUGAGCUGUCAUCGUGCCACUGCACUCUAGCCUGAGUGACAGAGCAAGAUCCUGUCUCAA